CAGUCGCCGCGGGAAAACGAAGGGGGCUAGCGUUGCUCGGAAUCACUGGGCGUAAAGGGUGCGUAGGCGGGUCUUUAAGUCAGGGGUGAAAUCCUGGAGCUCAACUCCAGAACUGCCUUUGAUACUGAAGAUCUUGAGUUCGGGAGAGGUGAGUGGAACUGCGAGUGUAGAGGUGAAAUUCGUAGAUAUUCGCAAGAACACCAGUGGCGAAGGCGGCUCACUGGCCCGAUACUGACGCUGAGGCACGAAAGCGUGGGGAGCAAACAGGAUUAGAUACCCCCGUAGUCCCUGUCUCUUAUAC
rnacentral:rRNA from 1 species